rnacentral:rRNA from 1 species
CCUACGGGUGGCAGCAGUGAGGAAUAUUGGUCAAUGGGCGCUAGCCUGAACCAGCCAAGUAGCGUGAAGGAUGACUGCCCUAUGGGUUGUAAACUUCUUUUAUCUGGGAAUAAAGUGCAGUAUGUAUACUGCUUUGCAUGUACCUUAUGAAUAAGGAUCGGCUAACUCCGUGCCAGCAGCCGCGGUAAUACGGAGGAUCCGAGCGUUAUCCGGAUUUAUUGGGUUUAAAGGGAGCGUAGGCGGGUAGUUAAGUCAGUUGUGAAAGUUUGCGGCUCAACCGUAAAAUUGCAGUUGAUACUGGCAUCCUUGAGUACAGUAGAGGUAUGCGGAAUGCGUGGUGUAGCGGUGAAAUGCUUAGAUAUCACGAAGAACUCCGAUUGCGAAGGCAGCAUACCAAAGUGCCACUGACAUUGAUGCACGAAAGUGUGGGUAUCAAACAGGAUUAGAUACCCCUGUAGUC